AUGCCUGCAAACAAGACUUACCCCUCCCAUAAAAAUGCCAACGGUGAGGUGGACGACGAAUUCUACCCAUUAAUCCGCAAGUACAAGGACGGCCGGAUCGAGCGGUUCAUGAGCUCAUUCGUGCCGGCGUCGGAGGACCCGGCGGCCAGCCGUGGUGUGGCGACGAGGGACGUCGUCGUCGACCAGGGCACCGGUGUGUCCGUGCGCCUGUUCCUUCCUGCCCAGGCUGCCGAGGCCGGCGCGAGGCUCCCCCUUGUUGUGUACGUCCAUGGUGGUUCCUUCUGCACGGAGAGUGCCUUCUCCCGGACGUACCACCGUUACGCCACUUCCCUCGCCGCCAGCGCAGGGGCGCUCAUCGUGUCCGUGGAGUACCGUCUGGCGCCGGAAUAUCCCGUGCCGACGUCCUACGAUGACACAUGGGCCGCGCUGCGGUGGGUGGCGUCCUUGUCCGACCCUUGGCUCGCCAAAUACGCAGACCCUAGCCGCACGUUCCUCGCCGGCGACAGCGCUGGCGGCAACAUCGUGUACCACACGGCCGUGCGCGCCACACAUGAUGACAGCAUCAUGGACAUCCAGGGGUUGGUCAUGGUGCAUCCAUUCUUCUGGGGGCCCGAGCGUCUCCCGGCGGAGAAGGUCUUGGACGGCGACGCCAUGUUCCCACCAGUGUGGGUGGAUAAGCUGUGGCCGUUCGUGACGGCGGGCGGGGCUGGCAACGAUGAUCCUCGGAUCAAUCCUCCGGACGAGGAGAUCGCGUUGCUAACUGGCAGGCGGGUGCUUGUGGCCGUUGCAGAGAAGGACACCCUGCGCGACCGGGGGCGCCAGUUUGUGUGCAGCAUGCGCAGGUGUGGGUGGGUUGAUGGCAGCCUCACCGUGGUGGAGUCGGAGGGUGAGGACCAUGGCUUCCACUUGUACGCCCCCCUACGUGCGACCAGCAAGAAGCUUAUGAAGAGCAUCGUGCAGUUCAUAAACCAUCGCGCCACCUUGCCGUCACCGGCCAUGGUGAUCCCAGAAGGCUCGGCCGAAACUAUGCUAGGCGUCCCUAGUAGGCCAUUUAAGGACAUAUUUGGCUACGGGAUGCGCAUGAAACGUUGGAGUGGCACGAGUUUUGGGCUCAAAGUUGGUCGUGCAAAAGCAUCGACGACGAGCUAUGGGUUACCUUUGAAGCAAGCUCGCACCUUCGGAGACCCUGUUUCAGCACCAACUUCGGUAAGAUUCGUGAUGAGGAACUGUUUCUAG
rnacentral:rRNA from 1 species